GAUGAACGCUAGCGACAGGCCUAACACAUGCAAGUCGAGGGGCAGCACAUGAGUAGCAAUACGAUGGUGGCGACCGGCGCACGGGUGAGUAACACGUAUGCAACCUGCCUUCUACUAUGGGAUAACCCGUUGAAAGACGGACUAAUACCGUAUAAUACAGGGGCUCCGCAUGGAGAUAUUUGUUAAAGAUUUAUUGGUAGAAGAUGGGCAUGCGUAUGAUUAGAUAGUUGGUGAGGUAACGGCUCACCAAGUCAACGAUCAUUAGGGGUUCUGAGAGGAAGGUCCCCCACACUGGUACUGAGACACGGACCAGACUCCUACGGGAGGCAGCAGUGAGGAAUAUUGGUCAAUGGACGAGAGUCUGAACCAGCCAAGUCGCGUGAAGGAAGACGGUUCUAUGAAUUGUAAACUUCUUUUGUGCAGGAAUAAAGUGGGUUAUGUGUAACCUUUUGUAUGUACUGUACGAAUAAGGAUCGGCUAACUCCGUGCCAGCAGCCGCAGUAACAC
rnacentral:rRNA from 1 species